rnacentral:lncRNA from 1 species
CAAGCCUCAGCUACUAAGGAGUGGUAAUGCUAAGAGCUGGGAGAUACACCUCAGAGCCUGGAGCCACAAAGGGAGCUGACCCAUGGCAAUACAAUUCUGUGACGUACAUCCUGAUGGCAUCAUCAUCAUCACCAUCACCGUUACCAUGACAACAACAUCAUCACCCCCACCCACCAUCUUCACCAGCACCACCACCACCACCACCAGCAUCAGCACCACCAGCAUCAGCACCACCAGCAUGAGAAACAUCACUGCCACCAGCCCUAAGCUGUGGUGCCGAGUUUCAACACAGUUUUGUCUCCUUUCCAAGCCAUGUUGCAAGAAGAGGAAAUGGAGCCAGCACUGCACUUGGCAAGAGCAGGCUGACCAAGAACGGGAGUGCUCAAGGUGCUGGGGGGCUUCCGGACCCGCUGGACAUGGGAGACAUGAACGGCGACACCUGCGCUGAGCUGCCAGCAGUUCUAGGACCGCAGGCCUGGGCCAUGGCCGACCUCAGCUUCUGCUCCAUGGCUGUGCAGCAUGGCAGCACCAGUGGCAGGUCCUUGCGGCCCUCAUCCUGUGUCUCACACCGGCGACCUCCUCCUGAUUCAUGCCUGUCCUCUGUCCUGGGCAGAGGUGGGAAGGGACAGCAGAGCAUGGGCAGGCUGUGUGGCCUGUGCUCCUGCCCUCUGAUGCCCUCGGUGCUGCCUGCCCGGCAGGAUCCUGGGACCUGGCUGCCCUCUGAGAGCUUUCUGAGUUGUUGUCCUGGACUUACUGGGGAGCCCCCUAGCCGUUCCUGGCAGGGGGGAGGCCAGGGAGGCCAGAGUCUCCUCUCCUACCAGGCCAAAGGACUGCAAGGACAGCCACUGCCCUCCUGCUCAGCUCCCGUGCUGGGGCCUCUGGGGGGCACCAGGAUGCUGCAGGCUCUGUCCCUCCCUCAGGCCCUAGGCAGAGGGGACAGAGUCCUCCCCGCUAUCCCUGGUUUGGAAAACAGAAACCAGCUGCCCUCCUCACAGGACGGGAG